rnacentral:rRNA from 1 species
GGAUGAACGCUGGCGGCGUGCUUAACACAUGCAAGUCGAACGAUGAAGCGGUGCUUGCACCGUGGAUUAGUGGCGAACGGGUGAGUAACACGUGAGCAAUCUGCCCUUGACUCUGGGAUAACAGUUGGAAACAGCUGCUAAUACUGGAUACGAGCUGGAACCGCAUGGUUACUGGUUGGAAAGAUUUUUCGGUCAAGGAUGAGCUCGCGGCCUAUCAGCUUGUUGGUGAGGUAAUGGCUCACCAAGGCGUCGACGGGUAGCCGGCCUGAGAGGGUGACCGGCCACACUGGGACUGAGACACGGCCCAGGCUCCUACGGGAGGCGGCAGUGGGGAAUAUUGCACAAUGGGCGGAAGCCUGAUGCAGCAACGCCGCGUGAGGGAUGACGGCCUUCGGGUUGUAAACCUCUUUUAGCAGGGAAGAAGCGGUAGUGACGGUACCUGCAGAAAAAGCACCGGCUAACUACGUGCCAGCAGCCGCGGUAAUACGUAGGGUGCAAGCGUUAUCCGGAAUUAUUGGGCGUAAAGAGCUCGUAGGCGGUUUGUCGCGUCUGCUGUGAAAACCCGAGGCUCAACCUCGGGCCUGCAGUGGGUACGGGCAGACUAGAGUGCGGUAGGGGAGAUUGGAAUUCCUGGUGUAGCGGUGGAAUGCGCAGAUAUCAGGAGGAACACCGAUGGCGAAGGCAGAUCUCUGGGCCGUAACUGACGCUGAGGAGCGAAAGGGUGGGGAGCAAACAGGCUUAGAUACCCUGGUAGUCCACCCCGUAAACGUUGGGAACUAGUUGUGGGGUCCAUUCCACGGAUUCCGUGACGCAGCUAACGCAUUAAGUUCCCCGCCUGGGGAGUACGGCCGCAAGGCUAAAACUCAAAGGAAUUGACGGGGACCCGCACAAGCGGCGGAGCAUGCGGAUUAAUUCGAUGCAACGCGAAGAACCUUACCAAGGCUUGACAUACACGAGAACGCUGCAGAAAUGUAGAACUCUUUGGACACUCGUGAACAGGUGGUGCAUGGUUGUCGUCAGCUCGUGUCGUGAGAUGUUGGGUUAAGUCCCGCAACGAGCGCAACCCUCGUUCUAUGUUGCCAGCACGUUAUGGUGGGAACUCAUGGGAUACUGCCGGGGUCAACUCGGAGGAAGGUGGGGAUGACGUCAAAUCAUCAUGCCCCUUAUGUCUUGGGCUUCACGCAUGCUACAAUGGCCGGUACAAUGGGCUGCGAUACCGUAAGGUGGAGCGAAUCCCAAAAAGCCGGUCCCAGUUCGGAUUGAGGUCUGCAACUCGACCUCAUGAAGUCGGAGUCGCUAGUAAUCGCAGAUCAGCAACGCUGCGGUGAAUACGUUCCCGGGUCUUGUACACACCGC